rnacentral:tRNA from 2 species
UGGGGUAUCGCCAAGCGGUAAGGCACCGGUUUUUGAUACCGGCGUUCCCUGGUUCGAAUCCAGGUACCCCAGCCA